rnacentral:rRNA from 1 species
AUUGAACGCUGGCGGCAUGCUUUACACAUGCAAGUCGAACGGUAACAGGGUGCUUGCACCGCUGACGAGUGGCGAACGGGUGAGUAAUGCGUCGGAACGUGCCGAGUAGUGGGGGAUAACGCAGCGAAAGUUGUGCUAAUACCGCAUACGUACUGAGGUAGAAAGUGGGGGACCUUCGGGCCUCACGCUAUUCGAGCGGCCGACGUCUGAUUAGCUAGUAGGUGAGGUAAAGGCUCACCUAGGCGACGAUCAGUAGCGGGUCUGAGAGGAUGAUCGGCCACACUGGGACUGAGACACGGCCCAGACGCCUACGGGAGGAAGCAGUGGGGAAUUUUGGACAAUGGGCGAAAGCCUGAUCCAGCCAUGCCGCGUGUCUGAAGAAGGCCUUCGGGUUGUAAAGGACUUUUGUCAGGGAGGAAAUCCCUAGUGCUAAUAACACUGGGGGAUGACAGUACCUGAAGAAUAAGCACCGGCUAACUACGUGCCAGCCGCCGCCGUAA